GACGAACGCUGGCGGCGUGCUUAACACAUGCAAGUCGAGCGGUAAGGCCCUUUCGGGGGUACACGAGCGGCGAACGGGUGAGUAACACGUGGGUGACCUGCCCUCAGCUCUGGGAUAAGCCUGGGAAACCGGGUCUAAUACUGGAUAUGACUCCAUGACGCAUGUUGGUGGGGUGGAAAGCCUUGUGCGGCUGAGGAUGGGCCCGCGGCCUAUCAGCUUGUUGGUGGGGUGANGGCCUACCAAGGCGACGACGGGUAGCCGGCCUGAGAGGGCGACCGGCCACACUGGGACUGAGACACGGCCCAGACUCCUACGGGAGGCAGCAGUGGGGAAUCUUGCGCAAUGGGCGAAAGCCUGACGCAGCGACGCCGCGUGA
rnacentral:rRNA from 1 species